CAGCAGCCACGGGAAUACGGAGGGCGCGAGCGUUACCCGGAUUUACUGGGCGUAAAGGGCGUGUAGGCGGCCUGGGGCGUCCCAUGUGAAAGGCCACGGCUCAACCGUGGAGGAGCGUGGGAUACGCUCAGGCUAGAGGGUGGGAGAGGGUGGUGGAAUUCCCGGAGUAGCGGUGAAAUGCGCAGAUACCGGGAGGAACGCCGAUGGCGAAGGCAGCCACCUGGUCCACUUCUGACGCUGAGGCGCGAAAGCGUGGGGAGCAAACCGGAUUAGAUACCCCUGUAGUCCCUGUCUCUUAUAC
rnacentral:rRNA from 1 species